UACGUAGGGGGCAAGCGUUGUCCGGAUUUACUGGGCGUAAAGAGCGUGUAGGCGGCCACGCAGGUCCGUUGUGAAAACUCGAGGCUCAACCUCGAGACGUCGGCGGAAACCAUCUGGCUAGAGUCCGGAAGAGGAGAGUGGAAUUCCUGGUGUAGCGGUGAAAUGCGCAGAUAUCAGGAAGAACACCUAUGGCGAAGGCAGCUCUCUGGGACGGUACUGACGCUGAGACGCGAAAGCGUGGGGAGCGAACAGG
rnacentral:rRNA from 1 species